CGUAAUUUUGGGCAGCCACACCAUCUCAUCUCCGUGACUUUACUUUCGCGCAGACUCCUCUCGCACCCAACGCCUUGUCGAUCUCCUCUCAAUCUCGCCGGCUACCCACACCUCCGCCGCCCCAGACCACCGGCGGCUCCUCUCCUCCACCUCUAGCGCGCCCGUCUCCGCCCUCUUUCUCCGCGACCUCGCCCCAGCUCCGGCGCUCCAUUCUCGCCACCGUACGGCGUUGCUCCGGCACCGUACCUCCUGCAUAAUCCUUCGCCGGCGCGUCUCCAAUCGAGCCUGAAACCUCGCCGCCGCGAAACCCUAGGUUCCCGGACGGCCGGCGUCGUGGACUGCGCAGCCCAGGCCACGCGCGGCACCUCAUCCAUUGUCUUCCGCGUCCCCGACCUCGCCUCGCCGCUCCAUCCCUUCUCCACCGGGUCCUCGCGCCUGGAAGCCGUGGCCGUGUGGAUGGAGCCAUCCAGCGGCGUCGCCGGCACCGCAGGCAGACCGAGGAGGGCUGCUGAUGGUGGCCGCCGUCCGCGGGAUGCAUUGGUAGCACGACGCAGGUGAGACCAAUUCUUUCGAUCUCCCGCACAGAUUUGCAGCUGCAGGAAUUUUGUUUGGGCGAAAAAAUGCAUCUGCUUACUCACGUGUGUAAUCCAUCAGUCAAUAAAUGUUCAGAGUGUUGUGUUGUAACACAAACCAAUCUUGCAGGACAGCCAGGUUAUAUAAAAAUUCGAUCUUGUGCUAGGUUCAGAAGAUGUACGACUAUAUUUACUACAGGAUUGUAGUAGAUUAGUUCAUACUUGAAUCCUAGACAGCUUCGAAAUUUCAGAAUCGCUUUUAAUGAUCUAAUGGGUAGAUAUGCGUGUAGUUUUCAUGCCUAGAACCAAUCUUGUAGUUUUAAGGUUGGGAAUCUUUUCACUUGGUUCAAAUCUGAUAUGAACUAGUAACUGCUAGAUCUAUACUUUUUUUAUCCAUAAUCGCCAGUUAAUGGAUCAUUACUACGCUGUGUGCAAGGGGAGGAAUUUGAGCUAGCAAGGGGAAAUAGCUGUAGCCUUUUUACAACUCACAAGAGCUUGGCCAUUGGUUAUGGUUCCACGCAGAAUAUGCAUGUUUAUUAGGCAAGAUCAGAUUGUGUAGAAUGAAUCUAUUCAUUCUUAUUUUGAUGCAUAAUGUAAUCUCUUGUUUUUAUAGCUUGCUGCCCGUUUAUCUUUUGUGGUUGAGUGUCGUCUCACUGUCUCCACGUCGCCCAGUACGCCGACAAGCACCCAACCUGCUGCUUUCGGGCCGUCGGGGGAGCUGAUGCUAUAACUGGCACCACUCCAGGGGCUUCUACAAGGCCGGCGAGGGCAGCUCCAGCCUCUGAGCCAGGGACGACAAUAUGUGCCUCGUUCGCACUGACCAAGACGACACCGCGCAGUCAUUUCCCUUUGUCCAUUGUCCUCGUUGUGGUCGGCGAUGAGCCAUGGGAGGACGAUUUGAUGUGCAUCUGAUUUGAUAAUUUCCAGUUUGUGGAUUUUGCCAAGGUAAACUCGACGGAAAUGUGAAUGUUCGAGAAGGAGUGAUUCAUGCUUGAAGUAGUGAACAAGAUCCCGGCCCAGUACGAGUGGCGAAGUUGGUAUGUCAGAUUUGGCUUCAUCAUCGUCUACUGACAAUGCAACACUGGUGAUGAUGGAGCAGAAUUGGAGGUGGCCAGGAGGUAGCAGCAGCCUUCGUGUACGUCUUGGUGAGCAUCCCAUUUGGCCCGUCUACUUGGUGGUGAUUUGGAACCUGCUGUUGCAGGUGUUUGUUGGUCUUGUUGCGAACGAACAUUUAGCAUGCUAGUCGAGUUGGACUGCGUGUUUGAAUGCAUCUAGAGGCAGUGAGGAGGCGCCUGCUUUUGGAAGGCGUCGAUAUGUGCAGCAUGAGGCUGGUGAGCAAAAUCACGGGGGUAACUGCCGUUGGUUCCCAUGCAUGUGUUUUCUGUUCCUGGAUGUGUGGUGGUUGAGUGUCUUCGUUCGCCCGCUGUUGCUGUUUGUGUUGGUUAAGUGACUGUAUGCCGGGCUCAGUUGGGUUCCUGUGAUGGGAAAUAAAUAUUCCUUGGAAGAGUAUUGGUAGGAGUGGAAGCCGGCGUCGUGCUGUUUCGUAAAUAAACCAAUUUUGAUGUUUUUUUGUUGUUGUUGUUUUUGUUGAUGCUCCUGUAUGUAAUUUAAAUAAACCAAGCAGGGACACAGCUUUGUGGUGUAGGAGGCACUGGCCACUCAAGAGCCGAGCAAAUUAAGUUUUGUUGGAGAA